GUAGUCCACGCCCUAAACGAUGUCAACUAGUUGUUGGGGAUUCAUUUCUUCAGUAACGUAGCUAACGCGUGAAGUUGACCGCCUGGGGAGUACGGUCGCAAGAUUAAAACUCAAAGGAAUUGACGGGGACCCGCACAAGCGGUGGAUGAUGUGGAUUAAUUCGAUGCAACGCGAAAAACCUUACCUACCCUUGACAUGCCACUAACGAAGCAGAGAUGCAUUAGGUGCCCGAAAGGGAAAGUGGACACAGGUGCUGCAUGGCUGUCGUCAGCUCGUGUCGUGAGAUGUUGGGUUAAGUCCCGCAACGAGCGCAACCCUUGUCUUUAGUUGCUACGCAAGAGCACUCUAGAGAGACUGCCGGUGACAAACCGGAGGAAGGUGGGGAUGACGUCAAGUCCUCAUGGCCCUUACGUCCAGGGCGACACACGUGGUACAAUGGCCGGUACAGCGCGUCGCCAGCCCGCAAGGGUGCGCUAAUCGCUAAAAGCCGGUCUAAGUUCGGAUUGUGGUCUGCAACUCGACCACAUGAAGCUGGAAUCGCUAGUAAUCGUGGAUCAGCCACGCCACGGUGAAUA
rnacentral:rRNA from 1 species